rnacentral:lncRNA from 1 species
CCCAAAUCAAUUAACAAUAGAGGAAAGUCACGCUGUUUUAAUUUUUCUCUUUAUACUGCUAUCUCCUGUUUCCCCUGUUUUUACACUUCUUUGCAGCUCACUUUCCUUAUCUGUAAGAUAUUCUUAGGAUGAACUUAGUAAGAAAUGUGCAAGAUCUAGAUGAAGACCCACCAGAUAGGAUGCUCUCUUGCAGACACGCAACUCACUGACUCAACCAAUGAGGAAAUUAUCCCACAAAGCAGAUAAUCCUAAUGGAGGGCAGAAUUCAGGACUGAGCAUCUCAGUGAUGCCGCCGGGAACCCAGGCUUCUCUGUCCCUUCACCGGACUAACCGAGUUCGAGACCACACGGGGGUCAGGUAGCCAAGGCUGGGCUUUGACGGUAGGAAUGAAGGAGGUGAGGGUGGCGCGCCGCAGGCCUGGGCCACUCCCUGAGUAGGGCGGCGGCGGCGGCGGCGGCAGCGGCUGCAGGCCCGGCCGAUUGGGAGGAGACAGCGGUGCCUCCUGGGCCGCGCACCCUACCCUUCCCGGGGUCCCGGCUCGCGCCGCGGCCGCGCGAGGCGCGCUCGAGCGGAAGUGGCGGCGAUCCCGCCGGAAGCGCGCGGCUGCGGCGCGGGAAGCAACCCAGAGCCCUCCUCCCACCUGCUCUGUGUAGGAGACAGCCUGCGGAGCCCACUGCCGGCGCGCCGAGAGCCCAGCAGCUCUUGAGUCCGGGAAGCAAGGGUGGGCGGAGGGACGAGCCAGUGGCAAUGACCCAGACUCCGACCCCCAUUGCUGACCCAGCGGAGCUGCUUGGGUCCACGAGGCUGGUCUCAGACCUAUCGGGAGUCCCUCUGCGUUAGCGGAAACCUCCAAGACGAGCCACCGGAUGCC